ACGGCCUGGCCGCCGCCCAACCACAUGGUAGUUUAAUCCCCUACUAGUCUCGGAGAGUCGCUCCGAGGAAUGGGAGUCGUGCCCCACCGGCGGCAGCAGCACCGGUGACGCCGGCACGCCUAAAUGCGUCGUCCCCUCGCCUCUGCGGCCCUCCGCCUCCGCUUCUUCUCUUCCACCUCCCCUGCCCGCCUUCUCUCGCCCUGCCCAUUCCUUCUAUCCCGCCGUGACGACGACGGCGGCCGCGAGGCCUCCUCGUCGCCGCUGCCCCCGCUCCCGCCUUCUGGCUCGGCUUUCUCCCCACGCCCGCUCCUCUUCUCUGCAUCAGCUGCCGCGGGCCUCUUCAGCCUCCAUGGCGGGUGGUGGAGGCAGGCUCUUCCUCCUGCAGCGUCGCGGCCCCUCGGCUCCGUCUCUGACGCAGCUCCCGUCCGGCUCACCAUCUCCCGCAGUUAUUCUCUGCGUGUGGCCAAGGGCAAGAAGAAAGCACAUUUUGACGAUGAACACAGCCAUCGAGCGGUUAACAUGGCACUAUGGUGCAACUUCCUCGUUUUCUCCCUAAAGUUUGGAGUGUGGAUUUCAACUUCAAGUCAUGUUAUGCUAGCUGAGCUUGUGCAUUCUGUUGCAGACUUUGCUAACCAGGCUCUUCUUGCUUAUGGUUUGAGCAGCUCAAGACGUGCUCCAGAUGCUCUACACCCCUAUGGUUAUUCUAAGGAAAGAUUUGUAUGGUCUCUCAUAUCUGCAGUUGGAAUAUUUUGCUUGGGUUCCGGUGCUACAAUUGUGCAUGGAGUUCAAAAUUUAUGGAAUUCUCAUCCUCCAGAGAAUAUUCACUGGGCUGCAUUAGUGAUUGGUGGGUCCUUCCUAAUUGAAGGUGCUUCACUGCUUGUUGCUAUAAAGGCUGUUAGGAAAGGUGCAGAAGCAGAGGGAAUGAGUAUCUGGGACUAUAUCUGGCGUGGUCAUGAUCCAACUUCCGUUGCUGUUAUGACUGAAGAUGGUGCUGCUGUUACAGGCCUUGCUAUUGCUGCAGCAUCUUUGGUAGCUGUUCAAAUGACAGGAAAUGCUAUGUAUGAUCCAAUUGGCUCAAUCAUUGUUGGCAAUUUACUGGGGAUGGUUGCUAUUUUUCUCAUUCAGAGGAAUAGGCAUGCUUUAAUUGGCCGGGCCAUUGAUGAUCAUGACAUGCAACGAGUCCUUGAAUUUCUGAAGUCUGAUCCGGUUGUAGAUGCUCUUUAUGAUUGCAAAAGUGAGGUGAUUGGGCCAGGUUUUUUUAGAUUCAAGGCUGAAAUUGAUUUCAAUGGAGUUGUUCUGGUACAAAAUUAUUUGGAAAGGACUGGACGUGGGAGUUGGGCAAAACAGACCUGGUGCAGUUGUGAGAGCUAUCUCAUGGAGCCGGUCACGGACUUGAAGUAGCCUCCGUGCAUUUGCGAGAAGAAGGCUUUCCUCAGGUCAUGAAUUCGAAGCAGCUUUACUUGUAGAGGAAGGUUUGGCUCAGUUCCGGGAAGCUGCAAUGUCCAAGGAUGAUACGGAAUUGCUAAGGGUCAUGGCCAACUACGGGGAGGAUGUAGUUGAAGCUCUGGGAUAUGAAGUGGAUCGGCUGGAGUCUGAGAUCCAAAAGCUUGUGCCUGGGAUUAAACAUGUUGACAUCGAGGCACACAAUCCCGAAGGACUUGCUCUUAGAGCAGAAGUUUUGUAGAUUACCUGUGUACAUUGCAUUUGAUUAACACUGUUGCUGGUCGCUGCCAGUUUGAUUUGGGUCCACCACCAUUCGAUAAGAUUGUCUUCCAUUGGCAAUGUAAGAAUCAGAUGGCUGUUGUUGCGUAGCGAGGCGGUAUUUUUAUUUGGAAGAAGACGUGGUCGCGCCUGACAUGGAAGGCUUUAUGUUCAAGGUUGGCAUCAGUAUGUAUUUUUGCCUUGCGAUGCAGUCCCAUAAGUAUUACUCCCUCCA